rnacentral:tRNA from 1 species
GGCUCAGUGGCCAGGUGGUAAGGCGUUGGUCUUGUAAACCAAAGAUUCAGGGUUCGACCCCCUGCUGGACCU